rnacentral:rRNA from 1 species
UACGAAGGGGGCUAGCGUUGCUCGGAAUUACUGGGCGUAAAGGGAGCGUAGGCGGAUAGUUUAGUCAGAGGUAAAAGCCCAGGGCUCAACCUUGGAACUGCCUUUGAUACUGGCUAUCUUGAGUACGGGAGAGGUGUGUGGAACUCCGAGUGUAGAGGUGAAAUUCGUAGAUAUUCGGAAGAACACCAGUGGCGAAGGCGACACACUGGCCCGUUACUGACGCUGAGGCGCGAAAGCGUGGGGAGCAAACAGGG